CCAUCGGUGGUUCAGUGGUAGAAUGCUCGCCUGCCACACGGGCGGCCCGGGUUCGAUUCCCGACCGAUGCA